rnacentral:pre_miRNA from 1 species
ACAACAUUUGGACCGUCGGUCUACCGAGCAAUUCACCCGCUCGGUGGAAGAUCUUUCCUUUCGUCGU